rnacentral:rRNA from 1 species
GAGAAAAGAAACCAACUGGGAUUACCUUAGUAACGGCGAGUGAAGCGGUAAAAGCUCAAAUUUGAAAUCUGGUACUUUCAGUGCCCGAGUUGUAAUUUGUAGAAUUUGUCUUUGAUUAGGUCCUUGUCUAUGUUCCUUGGAACAGGACGUCAUAGAGGGUGAGAAUCCCGUUUGGCGAGGAUACCUUUUCUCUGUAAGACUUUUUCGAAGAGUCGAGUUGUUUGGGAAUGCAGCUCAAAGUGGGUGGUAAAUUCCAUCUAAAGCUAAAUAUUGGCGAGAGACCGAUAGCGAACAAGUACAGUGAUGGAAAGAUGAAAAGAACUUUGAAAAGAGAGUGAAAAAGUACGUGAAAUUGUUGAAAGGGAAGGGCAUUUGAUCAGACAUGGUGUUUUUUGCAUGCACUCGCCUCUCGUGGGCUUGGGCCUCUCAAAAAUUUCACUGGGCCAACAUCAAUUCUGGCAGCAGGAUAAAUCAUUAAGAAUGUAGCUACUUCGGUAGUGUUAUAGCUUUUUGGAAUACUGUUAGCCGGGAUUGAGGACUGCGCUUCGGCAAGGAUGUUGGCAUAAUGGUUAAAUGCCGCCCGUCUG